AGAAUCAACGCUGGCGGCGUGCCUAACACAUGCAAGUCGAACGAGAAAGGGUAGCAAUACCUGAGUACAGUGGCGCACGGGUGAGUAACACGUGGCUAACCUACCCUGGAGUGGGGAAUAACUGAGGGAAACCUUAGCUAAUACCGCAUAAUACCUACGGGUCAAAGGAGCAAUUCGCUUCAGGAGGGGGUCGCGGCCGAUUAGUUAGUUGGCGGGGUAAUGGCCCACCAAGACAGUGAUCGGUA
rnacentral:rRNA from 1 species